AUCCACACAAGCUGAAUGCAGCUUGUGGCAACCCGCCCCCCACCAGGGGGCGGGUGGUAGAGGGCGUGUACCGCCGCCACCCACGUGCCAGGGACAGGGAGCGCUCUCCAGCUGAUCCUGAUCAGCUGGAUGGGAAACACCCGGCGAGGGGAACGCGUGGAGGGGUUAAAGCCGAGUCGAGGACUCACUGGAGGAAGGCGACCCACCGACAACGCAGAAGGAGACGCACAACCCCACGACGGCUACGAGGCUCACGGAGACCCUAGCCUAGAGACACAAUUGCAUCCGCUUCUUAUCUCGUUUUUAAUAAACGCCGUGACCGGCUUUAAACUCGCCUCGAACGUGCCUACUUUCCGUGUCACCCAGCCUUCCAGCCAACCGGGUUGCCACAUAUGGUGGAGAAGGCAGGCACUCGGUACCCACUGCGACCCGCGGGGAAGUAGGCCGCCACCCUGCAGCGCCAACAGCAGAUCCAGGGGCAGGUCGCGGACUCGGCGGAGAGCCUAGCCCUGCUCCGCGAAGCGGUUCUCCGCCUCACACAGCAUGCCGUUCGCGACUCCCCGAUCGCCGCUGUUGACAUAAUGCUCCUGCUAACAGCCGCCCCGACCAGCAGGCUCACCAAGCUAGGUCCGGACUCGGAGGAUGACGUGGAAGCCUCCCUGCACUGCUGCCCUGCUGGCUCCUCCUGUGACCAGGGGGCCGGAGGCUGUGCCCACCGGGGCCAGCCCAGUAGGCCCGCCCAACGCUGGGACGCAGACCCCGUCCCCCUGGGACUCAGGCCCUGCCCGAAAUGAUGACCCUUAAUCCAGAGGAAUAUGAAUGUACGUGGGUAUAUGCUACCUCUUUUAGUGUGACAGCGAGUGAUGCUGGUUUAAAAUCUCACAUCGCUUUAACUUUUGGUGAAAUGGUCAUUAUUCCAAUGUUAAAGUGUCUUCUCCAGGAUCAGUUUGACUAAAUCUAAAGACUGGGGAUGACUUGAAGCGUUGAUUGCCUCCUCCUUUUGAGCUCAGAGUUUGGUUUUCACGUCCAUGCAAGUCCAUUUUGUUUACAAGAACGUAAAGAAACCCAAUCUUCUAUCUGGAUUUGACUCCUGGUCCCCCCCAAGACUGAGCUCCCCUCUGGCUCUGAGUACCGGAGCUCAUGACCCUGAGGCCUCAGGGUCGGGUCUGGUAGGGGUCCUUGAUUGGUGGUGUCUAGGUCUGGUGGGGGUCCUGGAUUGGUGGUGUCUAGGUCUGGUAGGGGUUCUGGAUUGAGGGUGUUUUAGGUCUGGUAAGGGUUUAGUUCUGGGGCGGGUGUGUGUGUGUGUGUGUGUGUGUGUGUGUGUGUGUGUGUGUGUGUGUGUGUGCGCGCGCAGCAGACACAGAUUCAACCCUUGGCUCAUCUUUUAGACUUUCCGGAGUUUAGUCUUUCAUUGAUUACCUUUUUUAAUAUCAAGAGUGAAUUGAAUUUGCCUAUAAAAUGUUUUUGGUGUGUUGUGAGUCUUCGAUGUAAAGGAGAAAUUGUUAGUGUUAGUUAUGGGAGUUACGGGGUAAUGAAGAAAGUGAUCGGAGACUAACCGGUCACAUGAUAUCCGUCACACUGUUGAUUCUUGAUUUAAAUAUACAUUUUUUGAAGAAUUUAUAAAAGGUUGUUGCAUUAAUAAAGUUCUGAAAUGCC